rnacentral:rRNA from 1 species
AUUGAACGCUGGCGGCAUGCUUUACACAUGCAAGUCGAACGGUAACAGGCCGCAAGGUGCUGACGAGUGGCGAACGGGUGAGUAAUGCAUCGGAACGUGCCCAGUCGUGGGGGAUAACGCAGCGAAAGCUGUGCUAAUACCGCAUACGAUCUAUGGAUGAAAGCGGGGGACCGUAAGGCCUCGCGCGAUUGGAGCGGCCGAUGUCAGAUUAGGUAGUUGGUGGGGUAAAGGCUCACCAAGCCAACGAUCUGUAGCUGGUCUGAGAGGACGACCAGCCACACUGGGACUGAGACACGGCCCAGACUCCUACGGGAGGCAGCAGUGGGGAAUUUUGGACAAUGGGCGCAAGCCUGAUCCAGCAAUGCCGCGUGCAGGAAGAAGGCCUUCGGGUUGUAAACUGCUUUUGUACGGAACGAAAAGGUUUGGGUUAAUACCCUGGGCCGAUGACGGUACCGUAAGAAUAAGCACCGGCUAACUACGUGCCAGCCGCCGCAGUAAAAC